rnacentral:rRNA from 1 species
GAUGAACGCUGGCGGCGUGCUUAACACAUGCAAGUCGAACGGAAAGGUCCUGCUCUUGCUGGUCCCUCGAGUGCCGAACGGGUGAGUAACACGCGAGUAACCCGCCCUUGACUUACGGAUAAAUUCUGGAAACUGGGGCUAAAACCGGAUAGGAUCUCCUGCUCCACGGUGGGGGAUGGAAAGAUUCGGCGGUUGGGGAUGGACUCGCGGGUUACCAGCCUGUUGGUGAGGUAGUGGCUUACCAAGGCUUUGACGGGUAGCCGGCCUGGGAGGGUGACCAGCGACAUUGGGCCUGCGGUACGGACCAGACUCCUACGGGAGGCAGCAGUGGAAAGUAUUGCGCAAUGGGCGGAAGCCUGAUGCGAAGGCGCCGGGUGCGGAAUAACGGCCUUCGAGUGGAAAACCGAUUUCGCAUUUAACGAAGCGGGAGUGACGGUAAUGGAUAAGAAAGCACCGGCUAACUACGUG